UUUUACUGUUUCGCUGAAGUGAAGCUUAAAUGAAAGACAAAAGCAUAGUGUUCUCAGAUAUGAUUCACCCAGUAUAUUUCCUCUGCACCUGGCUCUCUAUGAGCCGUUUCACUCCCAGGAAGGGGAGAGCAGGACGUUCUUAUCUAUACACUCCCAAAUACAAAGAGGGGCCCAUUCUUCAGAAUCACACACACACACACACUCUGAGAUCAUAAACUUCACACACACACACACACUCUGAGAUCAUAAACUUCACACACACACACACACAUACUCUGAAACGCUAUAAAUAAAGAACUGCCACAAAUGCUGGUUGUGAGCCUGAGACAGCAGCGCUCACCCAGCGUGCGCACGUUGUUACCAUCUAAACUGUCUUGAGUGUCUUUAUUUCGCCUGAAGAAUGUCUUGUUUAAAUAUUUACUCCUUACAAACAGCUUUGACUAUUUGGAAUGCUCAUCAUCAUCAUCACCACACAGUCAUUGUGAGUCUCCUUCAUGGUGAAGAGGAUUCCCAUGGGCCUGUUGUGGAUGUUUGCUUCUUGGUGUGAUCAGCCAUUGUUAGAGAUCAACAAACAUCAACAUCAUCCUGCACUAACAGUAGUAAAGGCUGCAGCCAUUGAACUGGUGGACAGUUCUAAGUAUUUGGUGGUUGUUCUUGAUUAGUUUCUGUCCUUUGAGUCACACUUUGAUGCUACAGUGAAAAAGGUCCAACAGUGACUGUACUUUUUAAAAGAGGUUUUAAUGUUUCAUCUGAAAUGAUCCUUUUAAAUAAAAUUUCUAUUGAA
ensembl:lncRNA